ACUCAAUAGAUACCCGGGUAGUCCACGCCCUAAACGAUGUCAACUAGUUGUUGGGGAUUCAUUUCCUUAGUAAACGUAGCUAAACGCGUGAAAGUUGACCGCCUGGGGAGUACGGUCGCAAGAUUAAAACUCAAAGGAAUUGACGGGGACCCGCACAAGCGGUGGAUGAUGUGGAUUAAUUCGAUGCAACGCGAAAAACCUUACCUACCCUUGACAUGGUCGGAACCCUGCUGAAAGGUGGGGGUGCUCGAAAGAGAACCGGCGCACAGGUGCUGCAUGGCUGUCGUCAGCUCGUGUCGUGAGAUGUUGGGUUAAGUCCCGCAACGAGCGCAACCCUUGUCCUUAGUUGCUACGCAAGAGCACUCUAAGGAGACUGCCGGUGACAAACCGGAGGAAGGUGGGGAUGACGUCAAGUCCUCAUGGCCCUUAUGGGUAGGGCUUCACACGUCAUACAAUGGUCGGAACAGAGGGUUGCCAAGCCGCGAGGUGGAGCCAAUCCCAGAAAACCGAUCGUAGUCCGGAUCGCAGUCUGCAACUCGACUGCGUGAA
rnacentral:rRNA from 1 species